GUAUUGAAAGCGGCAUGGCGGAAGUGGAAUCUAAGCUCACUUACGACUCCUACUUGAAGAUUUCAGACCUACUAUCCUGCCAGGCUCCACACACAGAUGUCCACGAUGAACACCUGUUCAUCAUCGUUCAUCAAGUCUUCGAAUUAUGGUUCAAUCUAAUCAUCCAUGACAUCACGUCGGUCAGGAAUACAUUUCACGGCAAGG